rnacentral:rRNA from 1 species
UACGUAGGGUGCAAGCGUUAAUCGGAAUUACUGGGCGUAAAGCGUGCGCAGGCGGUGAUGUAAGACAGAUGUGAAAUCCCCGGGCUCAACCUGGGAACUGCAUUUGUGACUGCAUCGCUGGAGUGCGGCAGAGGGGGAUGGAAUUCAGCGUGUAGCAGUGAAAUGCGUAGAUAUGCGGAGGAACACCGAUGGCGAAGGCAAUCCCCUGGGCCUGCACUGACGCUCAUGCACGAAAGCGUGGGGAGCAAACAGG